UACGGAGGGGGCUAGCGUUGUUCGGAAUUACUGGGCGUAAAGUGCACGUAGGCGGCUUUGUAAGUUAGAGGUGAAAGCCCGGGGCUCAACUCCGGAAUUGCCUUUAAGACUGCAUCGCUAGAAUUGUGGAGAGGUAAGUGGAAUUCCGAGUGUAGAGGUGAAAUUCGUAGAUAUUCGGAAGAACACCAGUGGCGAAGGCGACUUACUGGACACAUAUUGACGCUGAGGUGCGAAAGCGUGGGGAGCAAACAGG
rnacentral:rRNA from 1 species